CCAAUAGCGUAUAUUAAAGUUGUUGCAGUUAAAAAGCUCGUAGUUGAAUUUCGGGAUUGACGUGACGGUCGUGCCUUAAGGGGUAUGAACUGUCGCCGUUGAUUUCUCACCUUCUGGAGAAGCUCGAUGUCCUUAAUUGGAUGUCUUGUGGAACCAGGACCUUUACCUUGAAAAAAUUAGAGUGUUUAAAGCAGGCAUUU
rnacentral:rRNA from 1 species